ACCCGGGUUCGAAUCCCAGCCUAGGACAGCGCUCUCGAUAUUUUUUUCUUUCUGGAACGAAAAAGAUACGCAGAUCUCGAACGCACGGCGUCCCGCCGCCACCUAGUAUGCCCUCCUCCUUCUAUGGUGCCGCAUUACUCUGUGUUGAGUUUGGGACUACUUCGGGACAGAUGCCGGACGAGGCGGGAAUGGAUCAUUCUCUCAAAUAACUCCGCCGCCUUGUCCAGUAGGCAUAUUGGCCUAAAUGCGGAAGGGAUUUUUCGCGCCUAACCCCCUUCCUUAAGAGGACCAGCUUGGCCUUCUUCCAAGGUCUGGGGAAUACCGCAGUCCCUAAACAGGAGGUGAAGAGCCGCAUUAGGCGGCCUUCCACCUCUCGAAUGGCCAGGGCCCAUACCGUGCUCGGGAUGCCGUCUGGGCCCAGCCUUUUACCUUUGGCGCCGAGCCUCUUGACGGCUCCGGCCAUCUCCAUUCCGGUGACCCCGACGUCCUCCCCAUCCGCAUCUAAGGGAGGGACCUCAUAGGGGGGUAUAUUGUUAUCCCCACGCGGAAAGAGGGCCCCCACGAUCUCAUCAAGGAGGCCGAAGUCCGACUCCAUUGGUAGGGGUGCUCACGGGCGCAAGCGCUUCAUCACAGUGUGAUAGGGGCGUCUCUACGGGUCCCUGUCGAUGGUGGAGACCAGAUUCUCCCAGGCACGGGCCUUGGUCGUAGUUAUGGCUGCCUUGAGGGCUUCCCGCGUUUCGCGGUAGACCCCCCGGCGGACAUCCGUCCUAUCUCACCGGUCCGUGUCCCUCCUGGCAUGAACGGCGGAGCAUCUAAAUUCGGCAAUCUCCGCCGUCCAUCAGAAUACGGAUCGGCGGGGGUGUGGCCGGGACCGAGGCAUUGCGACAUCGCACGUAUCCACCAUCAUGCCCCAGAUUACAGCCGCCUCUUCCUCGAUGGCUUGACAUGUCCUCCGGAGGGGGACCCGGCUUAAUCCAUAAGGCCGUCUUUAAGGCGGUCACCAGCAACUCGCAGUCGAACUUUGCGAGGGCCCAUCUUCGCAGUCGGGCAGCCUCUUGGUCGCGCCUCAGUGUACCUUUUCCGAGGUGGCGACCAGUCGGACCUCGAUGUAGCAAUGGUUCAAAACGAGGUUCAGGUUUUUAACCUCGAUCACCACUCUCCAACUCGUUACGAGCCGGGCUGCGGGGGGAGAUGCCAACAUGACAUCUAUCACCAACUGACCCCGCGGCCCGACAAAGGCGCUCCUUCGGCCCCUAUUUAAGACACUGAGGCCGAAAGACGCGACCUAUUCUUCCAAGUCUGUGCUCCCGGAUGACCGAGGAUCUCCACAACGGCGAUUCUGCAUUGAAGUCUCCGUGCACCAGGACCGGCCUGUGGAGGUGUCUGUUAGCCGGCGCAAAAACUCCUCAAAGUGGGUGCUGUUUUAGGAAGGUCGGGCGCAAACCCGGACCACGCCCAAGGCCCCCCAUUCGACCGCGACAUAUCUCUUUUUGCUCUCCACCACGGAGAAGGGAAAGAAGUUUGCGCUCCAGAAGAUCGCUAUCGAGCACCCUCCAGACCGCAACGCCACCCGUUAUGCAUGGGCGAUACCUCCGGGGAUGUAGCAGGGCCCGGCGGCAGCCCCCAAUCCCGCAUCGGGCUUGUGGAGAUAUUGCAGGAACAAGUCCUGCGCUGCUUGAGCGCGAUUAAGGUUGGCCUGGAGGAGUAGGGUAGCCAUCGCAAUCUGGCUCCCCGCUUUCCUCCUCCAGGCCCUGCCUUACUUUUGCCGCGACCGAGGACCCCUGUCGAUCCGCGGCACUCCAUUCCCUUUGGCAUUGGUCUUUCGCGAACUCCUCUGUUUUUUCUGAGCAGGGUCCAGGACCUCGGAUUGAGAUUCAUCUCCUUUUGACACGGGGGGAAGAUCCCUUUCCUUUUUCUUCUCUGGGAGCUUGGGGGAGACGUGUUGGAGGACUUCCACCUUCUCCCUCCCUUAUCCCCCUUCCCCUUUUUGCCUUCGGACACACGGGUUCGCCCACUCUGUGGCCAUAGGGCUUGUGAGCGUCGCGACACACCGGAUAGCUCACUGGUGCAUUGCACGCGGCAGCCCUGCGACCGGCCGAACCGUAGUGGUAACGAAGACUAUUGCGGUCGGUCUUGCCCUUGCACAUAGCCCUGACAUGGCCCUACUCUAGGCAUCUAAAGCACUGAAGCGGGCGCCGUGCCAGUGCCUCUACGCGGACAGAGGACCAUCCAACCCGGAUGCGUGCUCUGUCCACGAUUUUUCUGGCGAUCACAAGGGGACACUAUAACCACAGCGUCCUCGCAUGGUCAGUGCUAGGUUUGACUUCAGUGGCCCUUAUAUCCCUGGACCCGCAGCCUCCGGCGACGGUCACCGCGGAGACGUCUUCAACAGCGACCGAAUCGCCGAGGUCGCGGCCCGGUUGCUGGCCCUCCUCGCCGGAUGCGCGUUUCGCACUCCGCGAGGAGUCCUUGUCAGCGAAGAAGGCCGACAUUUUACCGGCCAGGACGUCCGCCUCGGCUUGUCCUUCGGAACUGGGGAUCCCAAGCACUAGGGCGCCGGCGGCCAUCCUGGUGCAGAUCUCCCCUAUCCCGAUCUCCCUAAAGUCAAUGUUGUCCCUCGCCCGCCGCACGAUGUCCGCGUAGCUGCCUAUUGGGCAGUUUACGGCUGGAGCAGCGGCACGAGGAACCCUAGGUAUGGCCUUAACUGGCUUCCCGCCCUUGGCCUAGGAGCUCUUGUCCUUCUCCCUCCUGUUUUCCUCGGCCACCGGCUUUUGUUGCCACAGUUUCUGAGGAUCGGGUUGAGGGGAUUGCGUAGCCCCUCUUCCACCUUUUCUCUACCUUCUCCCCAUCACACAGGAUCAGGAUUUGGACUCGGUAGCAGAGAAGAAAUUGGAGGCACUUUCGGACCUUGGUCUGGUCCAGGACGUGGCGCCCUCUCCUCCGCAGGUGCAUUGGGCGACACGCAGGAACGUGUCGCCCUGCCUGCUCUUUUUCUUUUUUUUCCUCCCCUUCCGGUCUUCCCCGCCGGGCUGAUUUGGCGGAGGCGGAAGCGGGAGAAGAUGGGGCGGGAGGCAGAUUCCGCUUCUUGCAGCCAUCUCCCGCCCCCAUCUAUCCUGUCCCCGCGCUCGGGAUUCCCCCGAUCCCGCGAAGAUUGAAGUCGCGGCCGCUUGGGUGGGACCACCCCAUGUCUCCCAAGAUUUGAGGAACAAGAGCCUUCACCAAGACCUCUAUUUCUUCUCUAUCUCGCUCCGUCGUUCAUCUGGAGGCCUGUCUCCGACAGGGAGGGGGUCGGUCCACUCCCGCGGCAUUCACUGGUUCCUGUUUAGCGGCCGGGUCCUUUCGAUUCUUAUCGGUUUUUUCCGAUCGAUGGAUUUCGCAUUGUGGGUGUGGUGGUUGACGGGGGAGAGCGUUCUCUGCGCAAUAUUCUUUUUCACUUUCUUCUCGGAGAUCCUCCCCACCUCUGCUAGAGAAAGCGAUCGGCGACGGUCGAUGUCCCCACUCUCCAUCUCCACCCGUAUCUUUUUCCUACUCUCAGAGGAGAAAGUGGACAACAGAUUCUCUUGCCCCAUCCCCCGACCUCUUCUUGGGGUUGAGAGUGCGGAAGAAAAAGACACUUUUUCUCGUUAAGGUAGGAGAAAUGCGUUACGUAUACCCGCGACCCUCGGGGAAAGAUCGCGGGUUAUAUAGGACUCUCCUCCGCCUUAUACGCGGAAGCAUACCCAUUAAAACCCCUGUCGGUCUCGUCCUCAGCGGCCAUAAUGGGAGCACCCCGGGAACCGUUUUUGCAUUACUUCCGGGGUACUCUCGGCCUCCAUUUGUCGGACUUUCCGGACCGGGGUUUUUUGUUUCCCGAACCGGUUCUUUACCUUAUUACGACAAGAAGUGGGACCCUCUGUCUCGCCGCGCUCUCCCCUGGCUGUGGAUUGGGUUAAGACGGGAUCCUAAUUUCCCGCUCGGACCCCGUCCCUCGUUGGCAUCUUGACCGAUUAGGGGGCGAAGUGAGGGCUUUGUGUGUACCUUUCUUCCCUUUUAGGGUCAGGACGCCGUAGCUGAGGGAGGGAGAGGCGACCUCUUUUGUGAAAUCGUUCUCUCCUUCUGCGCCUUGCAUAUAUAUCGGCUGUGGGGGGACUCCGUCGCCGCCUAUUGGCUACGGCGGCGUCGCAUCUGCUUUCAGGAGUGUUGUUUCGCUAGGUGUUAAACUAGGUGUUAACACUUUGGCCCCCCAUGGGGCCCCAGUUGCCUCCGGGAGGUCACCGAGCGUAGGGACCGUUACACAACAGGUCUUUAUAUCAACUCCCUACGCGUUUUCCCUCGAUGCCGCAUUUAUGCGCGGGGAAUGGAAAGACUUUUCUCUUCCUACGCCUCCCACUUAUCUCUUCCUCAGUUUCGCUUUUUUGGCGCCUCUCUUCCUCUUUCCGCGACAUGAAGUUAUCGCAGAAGGAGGUGAUAGCGGACCAAGUCUCCUUUCUCCAUAACAUGGUUUUGAUAAUGGCCAGGGGAGAGAGAGGUCUGCUCCCAUCACGCCUGUUAGGACCCGACGCUGUUUCACCUAGGAGGGACACUUCUUCAGUGUGUGCUGCGCCGAGUCCACUGUGGCGUUGCAGUGAUGGCAGCGGGUGGUGUACUCCUUUUUUAUCCUCUGCAGGUACUCACCGAAACAGCCAUACCCGGUGAGUACCUGCGUGGUUCGGAAGGAUAACUUUCCCUUGGCUCUGCCUAUCCAUUCCAGUAGACAGGAUUGGAUGGUUUCGGCGACCCUACUUCUCGAGCGAUCCGUCGCCUCUCCUAGGGACAUUUGCCACAUCUGGAGAAAAUAUUGACAUACCGCCUUGCGCAUAUGCCCAAUGGCCCUGACUAAGUUCUCACGAUCUCCCCCUUGUAGGAGUUUCUUUGUACGCCUGCACGUCUUGGUGUGCACCCGAACAAGAAACCUUAUUCGGGGAAGGCCCGCCAGAGCUGUGGCGGCCAUAUACGACGUGGUUUUAUAAGCGCGGGUGAGACUGCAAUCCAGCGAUGUGACUGGUUAACCAGCGCUUUAUGCGCUGGCUCACCGCCAUCUCCCCCGCCCAGAUACGUAACCCAUAAAAGGCGACCGAGUGGACUACGUUGACAUACAGCUACCGUGCUUUCUUUUUGGGGCUGUCGAGAUUGGGCAAGAGGCCGCCUAGUGCGUUUGCUACCCUGCCCAAUUUGGGAGCCAGGACCUCAAAGUGUCGCUCAAACCCCCAAGUGCCAUGCAGGGUGAGUUCCAAGUAUUCAGCUCGGGACCCAUCAUCACGAGAGUUUCUCUUGUCCGGACCUGGGCCCUCGAUAAGUCCCUUCCUUGACCUGUCAGGUAUGAACAUAACAUCGGUCUUUUGAGAGGCCACCUUGAGGUCUAUCCUCAGUAUGGAGCACACCAUUUAAUCCGAUGCGAACUGCCCGAGGACUAGGACUUUGCUCCAAUCCCUUCCCCCGGCCAGCAUCAAUGUCGUUUGCAUAGCAGACGGUGGUACAGCAGGGGCGAAGAGCUGAACGAAGAAUCUGAUCGUACGCGAUAUUCCAGAAUAAAGGCCCCAACACUGUCCCCUGCGGAACAUCGCGAUAGACCGCCCUUCUAUACUGGAAUUCCGCUUUGAUGCGGAACUCCAGUUGCCUGCUCCGGAAGUAGUCCCUUACCAGAUAGAGAGAAACCCAGUAGUAUGUCUUCUCUAUCCAGUCUCACGACGGCUUUCGAGAGGGAGUGCACGCGUAAAAUUGCGUAAAAUAGUCCUCCCCAGAAGUCGUAUUGCUCCGGGUGGAACAUCGGACUACUCUGGGACACGGGAAAAAAAUAGACCUUUUUUUUCUUUGAUAAGCCAUCAGAAAUGCUUUACGCAUAUCGACCCUCGGAGGAGGAGCGCGGGUUACGUGGGACUCCUCCCCAGGUGAACUCGGGGAGGUUCUACCCAAUAAAAUUGUGGCAGGAUUCGUCUUCAGUGCUUAUCAGAGACGCCCCUGGUACCGCCUGAAUAUUACUUUAGGGACGCCUCUUUGCGUAGUCCUUGAGGACCCAUCCUCGGGCCGGGAGAUGAUUCGACCUGUCGUCCGACCUUCCUUUGACAGCGGCGUAGUGCGACCAUAAUAUCACACCGCUUCCAUUCCGGACCGCUACUGCAGGGAGGAUGCACCGCCGUAUACCUCUCCCCCCCAGCGGUCGGUGUGGGAGGGGAACCUGUUCGAAACAAGUGUUCGCCCUGGACUCAGGUCCCCCUGGCGCCGGCCGUGAUGUUCAGCCGGCGUCGUGGGCCCCGAUCGUGUUGGUCGGACCGGGGCCUUCACCGCCAGAUUCCCCGGGAAUGACCCCGGGAUCUCUGUCGGCGGCGCCCUUCUCUUUGGCGCCAGGGAGGCAGCCCUCCGGGCGACUUACGGCCCUCUCCUAUCCCGCCGCGUCAUUGGGGGGCCCCCGCCUAUGGCCGCCCCGCCAGCGGCCGUGUUUUGAUCGCUGGCCUUCUUUCUCCACCUAGGGCGCAUGCGGGACCACCCAUGAGGCCGGCCUUCCUCGCGGCAUACCGCGUAGGACGCUCUCUCCGUGCAAUCCCUUGCGGUGUGCCCAGUUUGGUCACACCGGAAGCAAUCCCGACUCCGGUUGGUAGGUCCAGAGCAGAAUGCCCGGCCGUGUCCCCAACAUUUGAAACACUGGGAUGGGCGGUUGGGCAGGAACUCCGCUCCUAUCGUUGUCCACCGCAGUGCCAAUUUCCCUUCCUUAGCGACGGUCGAAACCGCUGUCAGAGGGAACUGCGUCCACGCUGCUUCCAAAUCCCUUGGGUCCCACCGUAUGAGGCGUAGGGGCCCAAACGAACCUCCUCCUCUUGGCAGCCUUUGUUUACCGCAAGGGUUGCCUUGACCUCCGAAGGCAGGACCGACUAAUCUAUCCCGACGAGCCGGAUUUCACCUACCUUCGAAGGUCUGGAGAUACUCGCCUCUGGCACCACUUCGCGGAGCUUUCUGGCGAGGGCCUCCGCAUUGGCCUCCCUGUCCGGGUCGGCCAGUCCAAUAAGAAGGUCGCCAUCAGCAGUCUUCCUGACAAAAGCCGUCCAUCCCCCUAUCUUCUCCAGGGGGAUGACUCCUUUCGUCCUCCUGAAAGUCUCCGCAAAGGUGAAGCCCCCCCCCCAUCUCACCGCCACUACCGUCGUCUUCGGUAGUGACGGGAUCGUUCCUGCUGACCGGUGGGAAGGAGCCAUACGAGAGCGACAGAUCGAUGGACCACUCGACGGCGCUCCCCGAGCCUCCCCCGUCCCCGUUUUGUCUUCCAGAGACGGACCAGCUGGUCCGCCUCUGUUUCUUUUUUUUUCUCCUGGAUGUCUUCCACUCCUCCUCCUCAUGGGGGGUGGGGCAUCCCCUUCAGGGACCACGUUCUUAAUCCUAGGGAGGAGGGGGGGGCGAUAUCCCUGAGAUGGAAUGUCGCCCGGUCUCUCCUUUCCGGGGUGCCUUAGGAAAGGGUGACGUUGCUCUAUCUUUCCUCUCCCUCCCUCUUUUUUCUUUUCCCUUUCCUCUCUCCUUCUCUAUUACUUCCUUCAGCCAGGACACCUCGCCCAUCAAGCGUGCCACCUCUUUCCUUAAGUGUUCCGCCCUGUUAUCUAUUUCCCUUCCUUUCCAUUUUCAUUCUCUUCUUUUCUCGUACAGUUUAGGCCUCCUUCAGUGGACGCCAGGAAAGCUUUCUUCAUAUCCACGAAUUUUCGGACCCAGCUGCAUACCUCCCUGUCUUUUCCCCCAUGCUUCUACAUUUUUUGCGAAUUCCUCCGCCACUUGCCAGCUCUCCUCAAUAUACCUUUGCCUAGUCUUCCAUCCAACUGAUGAUAGACCUCCUCCUUCUCCUCCUCUACAUCAUUCUCAUCCCAGUCCAGAGCCUGAUCCUUGCACUCGGUCUGGGCCUUGUCCUUUUCCUACUGCCUCUCCUUUUUCGUCUCCUUCUCUUUCCUUUCCUCGUCUUUCCUCUUCGCCUUCUUGGGUUGAGGGCAUCCUAUCUCAUUCGGCUGCCGGAGCACCGACGUACAAUGCUUAAUGAGGAUGGGAUUUUCUCCGAGACGAGACGGCAUCCCCGCCCGCCUCGGAGCGGAGGUCCCCCCCCCAAUGAUUUUUUUAUCGAGGUUUACUCCUCUAGGCUGGCGGAAAAGCAGACCCUCUCCUAACAGCCUCAGCUGGCCGGGCAUUUGUAGUCGGGGUUGCCUUUCCCUACCGGCAGUUAGGCCGAAGCCCUAACGGGGUUGCCGGGCCCCGCGCUGUAAUGGUCGAGUUACCCGCACCGGGCGCGCUUCCCUUUCUCUAGUACUCCCGGGCGCAGCUGCCCAUUCGGGAGGGCCUUUUAGUCGUCUCAUACGACACGCAAGCCAUAAGUUGGGGGUAUUCUUAUACUCCCCCACCCACACGAAAAGAACAGACCUUAUAUUUAGGACCAUUAUCACGAAUUUCAUACUGUUUUACUUAGUUAUCAAUAAUUUAAGGGGGAAACCUCCUUUAUCGGGUCAAAAAAAUCGAUAUUUUGGAAAUAGUCUUAAUCGAUUGUUAAACUAUUCAAGAAUAUUCCCUGAAAAUUUCAAGUCGAUAUCUGCAGUAUUUACGAAGUUACGAAGUUAAAGCGGACGGGUCGGGUGACGAGUUCAGACGGGCCUAGCGAUCCUCGGGCGGUCGCGUUUAUACCUGCGUUUUCGGAGCGUGUUUAUACCUGCGUUCGAAAAGUCCGUUGGUAGAAAUUUUAUCUGUCUUCCCUUUCAAACUUGUUUUGACCUACGAUCAGUUCGCUUUCGUCUCUUGUCGAGUGAAUACGUUGCUGAAUGCAGCAUGACUUCGUAUCCGAAAGCGACACACGGGCAGUCCAGACGUUCAACGAGGCCUCGAAAAAGGAAAUCUCCUUGGAGUAAAGAUCAAGAAAAUGAAGCCAAAGAAGAGGAAAUUAGUAAUACGAGUGCUUCCAGUAAAAAACUAAGCAGUAUAAUGUAAUGUAAUGUAAUGUAAUGUAAUGUAAUGUAAUGUUUUUGACGCAGAAGUGAAUAGGGCUCAUGCGUAUAAAAUUAUAGAUUUUCUAAGCGUUUUUCAAACGCUGGCGCAACUGCUUAUAUGUCGAAAGUGCUUGAAAAAUGUCGAAUUUAGAGAAUCGGGAAUUCGUGGUUUCGGUUUUAAGAUAGUUGUGUUGUGUUCUUGUGGCUCUACACAGAUUGAUUCUGGACCUCUUAUAAAUACCGGUUAUGAAAUUAACAGAAGAAUAGUUUUUGUUAUGAGACUUUUAGUCGUCUGCAUUGCUGCGUAUAUUGCUGCAUCGAUAUUUAACGAAGGCUACAAUGCAGUGUUAAUGAUAAUGAACAAAUUGGAUAUCGAAAUUGGGAUCCAGGCACACAAUUUUGCCAUAACGAAGGACGAGAAGCGAAUAAACAGACAGAACCGCCGAAGCUAUAGCAGCUCAAAAGAGACAAGAACGGCUCGUAGGAUGGAGAUGAUGGCUCAAAACGAGUUCUACGAGGAAGUGGAGGGGCUACUUUAUGCAGCUGGAAUCGCUGAUUAGCGUGAGACUGCCAUCAAAAUUAAGGACGCUACAGUGUACACAGCGGAGACACUCCAUAAGCAAAGCGAUAUUAAUAUGGCGUCCGUUUUUAUAGUAAACAUGUUUUUUUUUUGAAAAAAUUCCUGUGUACUCUUUGAUUGUGUAUUAAAUUGUCAUAAAAAUUUCAAAACGUUUCAAGUUAUUAUACCCGAGAAAAAAAUUCGUGAAAAUCAUGUAUUUUUCGACCGUGUAAAGGAGGUUUCCCCCUUAAUGUGGCACAAGACGAAUUUCAAAAUUAUGGAUAUUUGGACAGUUAUGUGGAUGAGUUAAAUGCAGAAAAUAUUGAUCCUGAUAAUGAUCCCAAAGUGUUCGAAGAAAUAUUAAUAUUAGAGGUACAAGAAAGACCAUAUUUAUUGGACCAUAGAUUAAAUAUCCAAAUAAGAGUUAUGAAGUAUGAACAUUAUACGAAAAGCUUGGAAAGAAAUACAGAUCCACACAUUUGCCAAAAAAAAUGGAAAAAUUUACAAGAUACAUUUCUGAGGAAAUAUAAAGAGGAGAAUAGUUAUAUUGCAAGUGGUAGUGCAGCUGCAAACAAACUUAUGACCAAUUGGAAAUAUUAGAAACAAAUGCAGUUUUUAAAAAGUACUACACAACAUAGAAGGACGUUCAGUAUAUAUAAAUGGUUAAAGAUGUAGAUGAAAAAUCACUUGAAUUUUGUCUAAGAAAGAAUGUAGACGCACAACAGAUAUGGAUAAAAGGCAGAACUUCCCCAUCAUUACAAACAAUUCCCACAGCUACUCGGAGUAGAAAUAAAUCUACUAGUAAAUCUACAUUGCUGUCACAACCACCGACAUAAAAUUGCGCAACAUAAUAUUUCUUAUUUACAGUCAACAUCGCCACUCUUCAUCGUCUUCUGUGAUAUAUAGUACAAUAAAAAGAAAAAAAUUUGAAGAAACUAUUAAUACUAUUUCUAAAUCUAAAAACUCAUGGUGACGAGACAUUUCGUCUUGUCACGACGACCCGACCGAACAGCAGUCGGGUCGUCUAACAGGCGCGAAGCGCCAAAUAAAUAAAACAUAUGCCGCCGCCGAAUCGCGACGCCGCCGGAUAUUCCCUCGCGUGGGGGAACGGCGUACGCACCGAAAGCGCACAGCGACGAGUAUAUAAGCGCCGCACGAUAAGGAUAAAGCACUAGUCCUGAGGCGAGCGUACUCAUCCGCAGUACGAUCACCAUUCCUACCUCCUCGCUGGCUCACACCAGCAUCCUGACCCCCGACCAGGAAGGUGCGCUAAUCACCUGGACGGACACCCGCUCUCUGGUAGGCACGGAACCCGAAGUGGCGCGCUCACCGCCUUGGUCAAGCGCUCCUGACCUCCCUGUCGACCAGAGAAGUAGGUAUAGUA